AGGGAGCUACCAUUUGAUUUUUAUGGGGGGGCUAGGAUGAAAAAUUUUGUCCUGCUUUUUUUUUAGUUGUAAUCUCUGUCCUGCCUUUUUAGUUUUUACUCUAUUCGGUCCUGCCUUUUUUUUUUACUAGUUUAUCCUGACUUUUUUUACACAAAUUGCCAUCCUGCCUUUUUUUUUUAACAAGUUUCUCAUCCUGCCUUUUUUUUUUACUCAAAACUCCUGUCCUGCCUAUUUUUUUCAAAUUUCAUCCUAGCCCCCCCCAUAAAAAUCAAAUGGUAGCUCCCUUACAUCUUGGUGAAUUGUUUUAUUCUUUAAGACUCGAAGCACAAAUUUAUUUUUGAUUACACCUGGGGUUCUUGUUUGAGGGGGUGAUGGGCAUUUAUCGGGACUCCAGAAUCGGGUGUUUUUAGCUCGGGAUUUAGGUAUUGAUCCUCUCGUGAUUUAGGUAUUGAUCCUCUCGGGAUCGGGAAAUAUUUAUUCGAAUUUCGGGAUGUCAAGAUUUUAAUUCCUUUAAAUUCGGGACCUCGGGAUUUCAUGUUCCGGGAUUUCGGGAUCAGGACCCCUCCGACUCCCCCCCUCU
rnacentral:lncRNA from 1 species